rnacentral:rRNA from 1 species
GAUGAACGCUGGCGGCGUGCUUGACACAUGCAAGUCGAACGAGAAGUGAAGACGGAAACCUUCGGGCGGAAGGCUUUAUUUCGAGUGGCGGACGGGUGAGUAACGCGUGGGUAACCUGCCUCAUACAGGGGGAUAACAGUUGGAAACGACUGUUAAUACCGCAUAAGACCACAGCACCGCAUGGUGCGGGGGUAAAAACUCCGGUGGUAUGAGAUGGACCCGCGUUCGAUUAGCCAGUUGGCGGGGUAACGGCCCACCAGAGCGACGAUCGAUAGCCGAUCUGAGAGGAUGACCGGCCACAUUGGGACUGAGACACGGCCCAAACUCCUACGGGAGGCAGCAGUGGGGAAUAUUGCACAAUGGGGGAAACCCUGAUGCAGCGACGCCGCGUGAGUGAAGAAGUAUUUCGGUAUGUAAAGCUCUAUCAGCAGGGAAGAAAAUGACGGUACCUGAGGAAGAAGCCCCGGCUAACUACGUG